rnacentral:rRNA from 1 species
AGCAGCCGCGGUAAUUCCAGCUCCAAUAGCGUAUAUUAAAGUUGCUGCAGUUAAAAAGCUCGUAGUUGAAUUUCGGGACCAAUAUGUCGGUCGUGCCUCGGUACGUACUGGCAUCGUUGGUUUCUCCCUUCUGACGAACCAUGAUGUCAUUUAUUUGGUGUCGUGGGGAAUCAGGACUGUUACUUUGAAAAAAUUAGAGUGUUUAAAGCAGGCUCACGCUUGAAUACAUUAGCAUGGAAUAAUGAAAUAGGACGUUUGAUUCUAUUUUGUUGGUUUCUAGGAUCGACGUAAUGAUUAAUAGGGAUAGUUGGGGGCAUUAGUAUUCAAUUGUCAGAGGUGAAAUUCUUGGAUUUAUUGAAGACUAACUACUGCGAAAGCAUUUGCCAAGGAUGUUUUCAUUAAUCAAGAACGAAAGUUAGGGGAUCGAAGACGAUCAGGUACCGUCGUAGUCUUAACCAUAAACUAUGCCGACUAGGGAUCGGAUGAUGUUAAUUUUUUAAUGACUCAUUCGGCGCCUUACG